UGACUAUGGCAUUUGGCUUAUUUAUAUCUUGAAGUCAUCAUGGCUGAAAGUAGGCAUAUAUACGAUUUUGGCUCAUUGAUUCAAGACAGUAAAACCAGCGAGAUUUCUUCUGUAAGAAAAGAUUAUGAAGCAAAAGUCUCUGCUGCCAUUCCGACUAAAACAGACCUGUUUCGAAAAGGAAAGCUGGCGAGAGAUCUUAACGCAGAGUUGAUUAUCCCUUACCAUAUGGGAGAUAGUUGGCGGCUUUAAAAGGUGAUGGUAACUGCGUGAACAUUUCUUUGCUAUAUCUACGUGUCUUUUUCUGCUGUUGGAGAAGUGAUAUUAUCAAUCAAAGAAGAAGAAUAACAUUUAUCAUUACUUGUUGCCUGCCUUUAGUACGAUGAUUACAUCGUGAACAUUUCUUUGCUAUAUCUACGUAUCGUUUUCUGCUGUUGGAGGAGAGGUAUUAUCAAUGAAAGAAGAAGAAUAACAUUUAUCAUUAGUUGUUGCCUGCCUUUGGUACGAUGAUUACAUCGUGAACAUGUCUUUGCUAUAUCUACGUAUUGUUUCCUGCUGUUGGACGAGUGGUAUCAAGUGUGAUUAAUGGUCAAAAACUUGUGCUUCAUUUGUGAGAUAUAAAAGGUUUCUUUGCGUUUCACGACAAAAAAUAUGCCAAGCUUCUACCUUUUCAAAAUCACUCGUGGAUUGGAAUGAUACCUUCCUGAUUGUAAGUUUUGGCGAAGGUAUGAAACUUGAUAAAUCUGAUAGUAGUAAUGAAAAUGUUUAAAGGUUAGUGGAAUUUUAGAUUUUAUAUCAUUGAAAUUUGCGAAAAGUUUACAAACUAAGUAAAGCCAAGUUUUUUU